AGAUUCGUUGCAGUGCCUUUUGAAGUUUACGGACUCAUCGACCAAAAAGUCAAAGAUUCGCUCUGCCAUUUGAGAUGCUUCCCAUCUCGGACUCCAUGGAUACUCGGUUAGAAGGGGUGACUUGGCUGGUGCACCAUGAGAAUUGAAAUGCUGAGUACUUUGAAGCAUCAUAGACGGCUGCUGUUUUGGAAACUGAGUUGAGAGGAAAAAAUGUACCAGGAGAGUAAAUGGUCCAGAGGUAGCAAGAAAUGUAGCUUUUCU
rnacentral:misc_RNA from 1 species